rnacentral:rRNA from 1 species
UACGUAGGGUGCGAGCGUUGUCCGGAAUUAUUGGGCGUAAAGGGUGCGUAGGCGGUUUUGUAAGUCUUGUGUGAAAUCUUCAGGCUCAACUUGAAGACUGCACGAGAAACUGCAGGGCUUGAGUGUGGGAGAGGUGAGUGGAAUUCCUGGUGUAGCGGUGAAAUGCGUAGAUAUCAGGAGGAACACCUGUGGUGAAAGCGGCUCACUGGACCACAACUGACGCUGAUGCACGAAAGCUAGGGGAGCAAACAGG